rnacentral:rRNA from 1 species
AUACGUAGGGUGCGAGCGUUGUCCGGAAUUAUUGGGCGUAAAGAGCUCGUAGGUGGUUUGUCGCGUCGUCUGUGAAAUUCCGGGGCUUAACUCCGGGCGUGCAGGCGAUACGGGCAUAACUUGAGUACUGUAAGGGAGACUGGAAUUCCUGGUGUAGCGGGGAAAUGCGCAGAUAUCAGGAGGAACACCGGUGGCGAAGGCGGGUCUCUGGGCAGUAACUGACGCUGAGGAGCGAAAGCGUGGGUAGCGAACAGGAUUAGAUACCCUGGUAGUCCAUGCCGUAAACGGUGGGCGCUAGGUGUGGGGGUCUUCCACGACUUCUGUGCCGUAGCUAACGCAUUAAGCGCCCCGCCUGGGGAGUACGGCCGCAAGGCUAAAACUCAAAGGAAUUGACGGGG